AAGACUGCAUUCUGGGAUCGUUUCUAUAGCUGGUACCUAGAGAGGUUCCUCUGGCCACGCGGGGCGCGGCAAACGGCAGGGAGGAGGUGCAGCAUUCCCUCCCGAGCAGGCGCCCGUCCCUGUGGCGUCACCCCAAGUGCCAUUCACCACUGAUGACUGUUCUUCUCUUCCUCCGAGAGAGCAAGAGGGGAGGAUGAGGGCUUGAGAGGU